ensembl:lncRNA
GUUUUACAAAGGAAAAGUAUUUGAUGGUGUCUGAGGAAUACAGAGCGCUGGGAUGAAAAUGAGGCUGCAAAGGAAAUGGAAUGAAAAACAGGCUUGUUUGGGUCACCCAGAAGCAAAAACCUAUCACACGCAGUCAUACAAAUAUACCCAAAACCCAGCAGCCACAUCAUACUGAUUCCCGACAACAAAACAAAAUGAAGAUGGAACUUCAGGGGAAUAAGACAAAGGGAAGGAGUGGAAAUGAAGCUGCCAAGGAAAACAGAACUGAUUUUGCAAAGGAAAAGUUGAAUAUCUUCCCAACUUUAACCCCUCUGCUUUCAUCGAUUUGAAUGGACUUCAGCUGGGAUUCCAUUUGUCAGCAAUAUGAUAAUCUAUGAGAUGGACCUCUAAGAAGCUGAAGCAACUCUAUCUCUCAAUUUGGAAAAAUGCCCACUUCCAAGUUCUGGAGCAGAGUCAAGGAGCUAACACCUGGAAAGUGAUUAAAAUUGUGCCUUAUUAUGUUUUUGAAGAAUCUUGCUGACAUUUUUUCUUCAUUCAUUCUCUCUCUCAAAUACAUAUACACACAUACAUAUCUACACAUAUAUGAUAUGUAUAUAUGUAUAAUAUACCUACAUACCUAAAGAAUAUGUAUAGAUAUAUAUGUGCAUAUACAAACAUAUACAAGCAUACCUCAUUUAAUUGCACUUUGCUUUGGUGAGCUUUCCAGAUAUUGCAUAGCUUUAUAAAUUGAAAAUCUGUGGCAACUCUGCACUGAGAAAGUCUAUUAGUGCCAUUAUUCUAAGAGUAUUAGCUCAAUUCAUAUCUCUGUGUCACAUGUUUGGCAAUUCUCACAAUAUUUCACACUUAUUACUAUACUUGGUAUGGUGAUGUGUGAUCACCAUAAGGUCAGAUAACAGCAUUUUUUAGUAAUAAAGUAUUUUUUGAUUAAGUACA